UGCAGAAUCCCGUGAACCAUCGAGUUUUUGAACGCAAGUUGCGCCCAAAGCCACUAGGCUGAGGGCACGUCUGCCUGGGCGUCACGCACAGCGUCGCGCUCAACACAAGCAAUGUUUUCGUGUUGAUGAGCGGAAGUUGGCCACCCGAGCUAUCUCAGCUCGGUAGGCCUAAAUGAUGGCCUCGAGCGAUGGGCAUCACGAUCUAUGGUGGUUUAGAACCCCUGUCGUCGUAGACCGGCGUCGUGUUUGCCUCGUUGAAUGCUCGAGCUGUACAAACCCUUGUGUGUUGCAUCUAACACUCACCUUGCGACCCCAGGUCAGGCGGGACUACCCGCUGAGUUUAAGCAUAUCAAUAAGCGGAGGAGAAGAAACUUACAAGGAUUCCCCUAGUAACGGCGAGCGAACCGGGAUCAGCCCAGCUUGAGAAUCGGGCGGCUUUGUCGUCCGA
rnacentral:rRNA from 1 species